rnacentral:lncRNA from 1 species
GUUUUGGGCUGGUUUUAAAUAUUUUUUGUUUGUGCAUAAAAUUAUUCAAUCAUUUAGGUAAAUACAUUUAAAUGACUACACCGAUUUGAAAAUGUUAGAUAAAGAGAAGGAAGAGCACAUUUUUUGUUAGAACAUUGGAAUAAUAUGAUUUUCAAGUAUGUGGUAUAAAGGGGGGAGAUAAAUACCUAAUACGUUGGCAUAUUGUUGGCACAAUGUUGGCUUAUAUUUCUUUAUUGGCAUGAAAUAUCAAUGAUAUUUUUUUUAUAAACACUGUUUUAAAAAACUUUGAAUUAGGCAAAAUACAAAGAAUUUUCUAGUUCUAGGCACAGAUUAUCGUAGUCCUAUUUGGUAUGACUUUAUCAUUUUGAUUUUUUACUGGGUC